GGCAGCCGAAAGCUGUUGGAUCACUCGUGAAACGGGCAACUCAUCGACAACAGAACGCUUUAAUAUCGAAUGAAAAAUGGCCCAUUCGCUAGUGACGAUGCUGACGCUUUCCGUCUUGUGCCUUUGGCUUGGAUCAGUCGCAGGAACGCCCGUCUUACUUCCUAAC